rnacentral:rRNA from 1 species
AAACAUCUUAUAUCGCUCUGUAUUGGUUGCCUUCGAUUAGGGUUCGAUUCCGGAGAGGGAGCCUGAGAAACGGCUACCACAUCCAAGGAAGGCAGCAGGCGCGCAAAUUACCCAAUCCCGACACGGGGAGGUAGUGACAAUAAAUAACAAUACCGGGCUCUAUAGGGUCUGGUAAUUGGAAUGAGUACAAUUUAAAUCCCUUAACGAGGAUCAUUGGGAGGGCAAGUCUGGUGCCACCACCCGCGGUAAUUCCGGCUCCAAUAGCGUAUAUUAAAGUUGUUGCAGUUAAAAAGCUCGUAUUUGAACUUGGGGCGGGGAGGGCGGGUCGCCUUAGGGGUGCACGGUUUGUCUGACCCUUCCUCCCGGUAAGGCUGUCUGCCCUUUACUGGGCCGGUUGUGCACCCGGAAUUUUACCUUGAGAAAUUAGAGUGCUCAAAGCAGCCAUCGCCCUAAUACCUUAACAAGGGGAAACACUAUAAGAAUUGCGGUUCUAUCUUGUUGGUCCUCCAGGAUCGGCAGUAAAUGAUAAAUAGGGACCGUUCGGGGGGCAUUCGUAUUUCAGUAAGUCAGGAGGUUGAAAAUUCUUGAGGAUUUAUUGAAAAGAACGAACCGACCUGGCGAAAGCCAUUUGCCCAGGGAACGUUUUUCAUUAGAUCAAGGAACGAAAGGGUGGGGGGGCUUCGAAAACGAUUAGGAUACCGUCCCUUAGUCCUCCAACCAGUUAACCAUUGCCGACCAGGGGAUCAGCCGGGAUGGUUACUUUAUUAGGACCUCGCCCCCUGGGCCACCUUUAAAUGGGAAAACCCAAAGUUUUUUUGGGAGGUUCACAGCAA